rnacentral:misc_RNA from 1 species
GUCAAAUGUCAAACGUCAGCUACGUUGACAAUGUCACGUAGUCGAUAAUGCACGUCCUGCGAAUUAUAAAAUUGAACAGUUUGUAGAAAAGUUCACUUGGUGAGCUCCUGCUUCGAUUGCAGAACAUAACAUUAGUUUAAUUGUGUUUUAGUUCUAUCAUCAAACAACUAAAUUAACAGGAACAAUGGACGCUCUCGCGGACUUGCUGCAGCCGUACAAGGAGAUCGUGGGCACGCUGGCCGCGGUGGUCACCAUCGGGCAGAUGUUCUCCGGCAGCUUCAUCUGCUGGGACAUCUACAAGCAGGGAAACACGAAGGGCAUCGGCAUCAUGCCCUUCCUCGGCGGUAUUAUUAUGAGCGUGCUCAACUUGAAAUACGGGUACAUUCUCCGAGACCCCACGAUGAUACAAGUGAACCUCGUCGGUCUGGCGCUCAACAUCAUCUACGUAAUGGUGUACUUCAACUACGCUCAGGAGAAGAUGAAGGUGUGGGCGUAUAUCGGACUGUCGGGAGCCAUGUCAGCCGCCGUUAUUGGGUACGCGGAAUAUGAAGAUCCGAAAUUGGUAGAGAACAGGCUGGGAACUAUCAUCACCGCGUUCAUGUUCUAUUUGAUCGCGUCGCCUCUGUUUGGAUUGAAAGAAAUCAUGGAGAAGAAAAGUACUGAGGGUCUCCCCUUCCCGAUCAUCUUCUCCGGUGCCAUCGUGACGUUCAUGUGGCUGCUGUACGGCAUCAUCCUGAGGAACUCCUUCCUCGUGAUUCAAAACGUAGUAGCAUUUGUGCUCUGUGCCAGUCAGUUGGCGCUGUUCGUGGUAUAUCCCUCCAAGCCGAAGCCCAAAGGCAAGGAGAAGGUCAAAGCCAAAAAAGCCGAUUAGCAUAAAUUUAGUUAUUAAGAAUAAAUAACAGGCGCGGAUCUAGGUUUUCGCUAGGGGGCUUUUUUAUAAAAGCAUUUUUUUAUAGAAAGGAGUAAGUGAUUUUUGUGACUAGGGGGGAAAAGUGGUGCAGUUUUAAGUGUCUUGCGAUCAUGGAUCCUCGCCUGUGUAUAACCUCGUCAUCCCACUAUGUGGGAUUGAAAUUAACAAUAUUAGUGAAAAGUAUGUUUGUGUACCGACCUGAACUAAAUCUGACAUUGAUCUUAUUACAUAAAUAAAUGAUUACUGACGCUAAUUCAAUUGAAACUUGUAAAUUGAAUCAAAUUUUAAAUAAGCACUCAAUGAAAUUGAAUAUUUAAGCCAAUUAUUUGCAUAUUGCAACAUUUUUAUUUUUGUUCACAUUUAUAUUCGAUAACGAAUCUUACUAAUGUUUUUUAAUUACAAAUCACCAUUGUUUUAUAAAAAGGACCUUUACGGCUUAGCCGCCAUUAAAAAAGCAAUGUAAAGAAAGCUGUGUUAAUACAAAUAUUUUUAUACAGAUACUUAUAUGUGUGUAAAUCAUUCAUUCCCUUAUUUUACCUUCAAUUUACUACGUAAUUAUUUUAUUUAGCAAUAAACCGUGUUUUAAGGCUUGUGAUAGUCUUAGGCUAAAAUCUAUAAAAUACACUUCGACUUAAGUCCAAGUCCGUGACAUGUAAAUAACCUAAAAACAUUUUCUAACGUUAUCGUGAAUAUUUUGCGAAUAUGAACCUUGUGAUUCAAAUAAUUAAGUUUUUUAUAAACUGUACAGUGCUUGCCACUCGGCAGUAUUUAUUACUUUUUAAUAUUAGACUUGUCGAAGUAUGCUUUAUAGGUCUUGCGCUCUAUGUUAUAAGAGUGAAUUUAGAAUGCUGUCGCAGAGUUAUAAGCACUGCAUUUUGCUCACCUUUGCUAGUGCCUUUACGAAAAUAUUUUUGUAAAAAAACUUAAAAAGUUAUACUUUUUAUGAAUCAUCUUGUGCAAUAGAAAGAUACAGACGAAUAAAUGUGAAAGAAAUAAA